GUGGAGGCUUCCUGCAUAACAGUCUCCUUCUGGACCCAUGAUGUUUUUGGUUGGUUCUAUGGCUUCACAGUGACCACCUUACUGAUGGUCCGGUCUAGGGGCUUCUCCGGACAGGGCUCUGGCGCGGGAACCAUGGUGGUCACUUUCGAUAAGGCAAAAGAGGAGCAAAAAAUUAUUGAAGAACAGAAAGAACGGUAAGUAAAAGACAUUUGUUUUUGUUCCCAAAAACAAAGUUUGCUCAAAAGAUCUGACCUACAAAAAGUCAAAGAAUUUAUAUUUUAUUGAAAAUUUUAUUAAAGUAUUGUUCAUUUUCAAAUAAAGGCGAUAUCUAUUAGCUACUGGAUUCUCUCCAGUAUUAAAAAGACAAAGAAUUGAAAGCACUCAAGGAAUGACAAAACACCAACUUACUCCUGCAUCACCUGCAUCUACAUCUAGAAUGUCAGCUGAUGGUGAGUCAACUUCUUUUGUCAUAAUCAGUUUGAGAAAAAUUAUUUUUUUGUAAUUACAUCACAACUCAUUUUAAACAACAGACAAGGAUGAGCUCCUCCAAAUGAUGAGAGACAUCAAGAGCACAGUUCAGGAAAACUCUGCUAUGUUAAAGAAACUACUCAAAGACAAUACAGUUUCUGAGGUCCCCAGCAGUACUUGCGUUCCACCUAAGGAAGUUAAAACAAGCCUAAAUCUGCCUCUUAGAACCUUUGAUGAUAUGAAAAGAACUGAAAGGGAGCUCAACACCACAACAACACGCAAACAAUAUGUAAAAUAUUUGUCAGAACUUGGAGGUUUUGGAAACAGGGAUGUGAUUAAGAAUAUUAUGCAACAUGCCCUAACAGAUGAUCUGGCUAAGGAAUUCAACUGGCAGGGAAGAGGAGAUAAAAAACCCUUCUCUCAGCUGAUUUUAGCAGACGUGAUCAGAGAGGCUGCAUUCAAACGAAAUGUAAUCAGGGUCGACUGUGAAACUGAAAUAAAAAAAUAUCUGAGUUACACAGGUGAUCGACUCAGUCGGAUGAGGCCAAGAGAACAAGCAGGGCACGAGAUCCCAAAUGUGAUUCCCACACUGAUGGACAACCAACCAGAAAUGUCUUGGGAUGUUUUUGAUGACUCAGUGUGGAGUAUUUGAUCAUGAAUCACAGGUCAUGCAGACAAAAUUACACAUUAACCAUACAUUUUAUGAAGUACUGCAUGUCAUUUUAAUUUUUUUUUAUUUAAUUUUAUUUUUUUUUUCAAAUUGUGGUAAUAUCCUUUUCCUCAACCUUUAUUUAACAGUAAAAAAAAUAAUCAAAUAUUGAAAGUUUCCCUGUGACAUUACUGCAUGAAUUGACAUGUUUUUCAGCUGCGUGACAGUAGUGGCAUUAGUUUGUUUGAGCCAAUAAACUUUAUUAAAACAAAAAAGUGUACAAAAUUUUGUAAAUAACUUUUUAGGCUAUAUCUGUCAUUUCCAGUGAUUCAUUAAAUUACAUGUGACGAUUCCAUUCUAAAUAAAUCAGAAUUACAGAUUAUAUAUCCUCUCUUUAUCAGUGC
rnacentral:lncRNA from 1 species